ACCAGGUUAGCUCAGUUGGUUGAGCGUCUGACUUGGGCUCAGGUCACGAUCUCACAGUUUGUGAGUUCGAGCCCCGCAUCAGGCU
rnacentral:tRNA from 1 species